rnacentral:rRNA from 1 species
CCUACGGGUGGCAGCAGUAGGGAAUAUUGCUCAAUGGGGGAAACCCUGAAGCAGCAACGCCGCGUGGAGGAUGAAGGUUUUAGGAUUGUAAACUCCUUUUGUUAGAGAAGAUUAUGACGGUAUCUAACGAAUAAGCACCGGCUAACUCCGUGCCAGCAGCCGCGGUAAUACGGAGGGUGCAAGCGUUAAUCGGAAUCACUGGGCGUAAAGAGUGCGUAGGCGGGGUAAUAAGUCAGAUGUGAAAUCCUGUAGCUUAACUACAGAACUGCAUUUGAAACUGUUACUCUCGAGUGUGGGAGAGGUAGGUGGAAUGCUUGGUGUAGGGGUGAAAUGCGUAGAGAUCGAGAGGAAUACUCAUUGCGAAGGCGACCUGCUGGAACAUUACUGACGCUGAUGCACGAAAGCGUGGGGAGCAAACAGGAUUAGAUACCCUAGUAGUC